UGCCGCUCGCCAUGGCCGCCACCUAAACCUCCACGCUACGCCCCCACCUCUGGCCCUUUUCCGCCCGAGCUAACUCCCAGAACCGCUUCCCCUCGGCCCUCUGAAACUCCCCCGCCCGACCUCGCUCACCCACCUCGCCGGAGCGCUGCCAGCUCGGCCCCUGAAACAACACGGCCUGACCUCGCUCGCCCACCUCGCCGAAGCGCCGUCGUGCACAGCCGUCGCCACCACCACCUCAACUACUGUCUGCCGCCAGCGACUACCCUCCACCCUCUCCAAGCCUCAACCAAGCACACCAAAAGACUCGACUACUCUCGCCGACAAAUACGAGCUGAUUCUCGAGUCCGAGAGUGAGCAGUGUGAAGCCCAAGUUAAUCUAACUGAAGUUAUCAAAGAUCUGAAUCAAUAUUCGGAAGAGCCCAAGGCGAGAUUUUUGAGGAUAUGGUUGCUGGUUUGACUUGGCCAUGUACUCUUCCUCCUGGUUGGUCGGUGGAAUGGGAUGCAUCUCCGACCAAUGAUGAUCGCGCUAAAUGAUGUUGUGUAGAGGCUUUAUCAUGACAUCUUAUAUCGUCUGUAACUUUAUUUCCGCUGCACUGUUGAAAUCUGAAAGUAAUUGUUUUAUGAAUUCGAACUUGAUUUGUAAUAAUAAUUCUUCAUGUUGAACUCUGUGAUGUAAAAUUGUGGAUUGUUGUAA